GUCGAGCGGCAGCGACUUAACUGAACCUUCGGGGAAUGUUAAGGGGCGAGCGGCGGACGGGUGAGUAAUGCCUGGGAAUAUGCCCUGAUGUGGGGGAUAACUAUUGGAAACGAUAGCUAAUACCGCAUAAUCUCUUCGGAGCAAAGAGGGGGACCUUCGGGCCUCUCGCGUCAGGAUUAGCCCAGGUGGGAUUAGCUUGUUGGUGAGGUAAUGGCUCACCAAGGCAACGAUCCCUAGCUGGUCUGAGAGGAUGAUCAGCCACACUGGAACUGAGACACGGUCCAGACUCCUACGGGAGGCAGCAGUGGGGAAUAUUGCACAAUGGGGGAAACCCUGAUGCAGCCAUGCCGCGUGUAUGAAGAAGGCCUUCGGGUUGUAAAGUACUUUCAGUAGGGAGGAAGGCAGUGUCGUUAAUAGCGGUAUUGUUUGACGUUACCUACAGAAGAAGCACCGGCUAACUCCGUGCCAGCAGCCGCGGUAAUACGGAGGGUGCGAGCGUUAAUCGGAAUUACUGGGCGUAAAGCGCAUGCAGGCGGUCUGUUAAGCAAGAUGUGAAAGCCCGGGGCUCAACCUCGGAACAGCAUUUUGAACUGGCAGACUAGAGUCUUGUAGAGGGGGGUAGAAUUUCAGGUGUAGCGGUGAAAUGCGUAGAGAUCUGAAGGAAUACCGGUGGCGAAGGCGGCCCCCUGGACAAAGACUGACGCUCAGAUGCGAAAGCGUGGGG
rnacentral:rRNA from 1 species